rfam:Oryza sativa Japonica Group DNA, chromosome 3, cultivar: Nipponbare, complete sequence.
AAUAUAUGACGUCGUUGACUUUUUGUCCAACGUUUGACCGUUUGUCUUAUUCAAAAAAUUUAUGUAAUUAUCAUUUAUUUUAUUGUAACUUGAUUCGUCAUCAAAUAUUCUUUAAGCAUGAUAUAAGUAUUUUUAUAUUUGCAUAAAUAUUUUGAAUAAAACGAAUGGUCAAACGUUGGUCGAAUAGUCAACAGCGUCAUACAUU